GAUGAACGCUGGCGGCGUGCCUAAUACAUGCAAGUCGAGCGAACGGACGAGAAGCUUGCUUCUCUGAUGUUAGCGGCGGACGGGUGAGUAACACGUGGAUAACCUACCUAUAAGACUGGGAUAACUUCGGGAAACCGUAGCUAAUACCGGAUAAUAUUUUGAACCGCAUGGUUCAAAAGUGAAAGACGGUCUUGCUGUCACUUAUAGAUGGAUCCGCGCUGCAUUAGCUAGUUGGUAAGGUAACGGCUUACCAAGGCAACGAUGCAUAGCCGACCUGAGAGGGGGAUCGGCCACCCGGGAGCGGAGACACGGACCAGACUCCUACGGGAGGCAGCAGUAGGGAAUCUUCCGCAAUGGGCGAAAGCCUGACGGAGCAACGCCGCGUGAGUGAUGAAGGUCUUCGGAUCGUAAAACUCUGUUAUUAGGGAAGAACAUAUGUGUAAGUAACUGUGCACAUCUUGACGGUACCUAAUCAGAAAGCCACGGCUAACUACGUG
rnacentral:rRNA from 1 species